AGAGUUUGAUCCUGGCUCAGGAUGAACGCUGGCGGCGUGCCUAAUACAUGCAAGUCGAACGCUUCACUUCGGUGAAGAGUGGCGAACGGGUGAGUAAUACAUAAGUAACCUGGCAUCUACAGGGGGAUAACUGAUGGAAACGUCAGCUAAGACCGCAUAGGUGUAGAGAUCGCAUGAACUCUAUAUGAAAAGUGCUACGGGACUGGUAGAUGAUGGACUUAUGGCGCAUUAGCUUGUUGGUAGGGUAACGGCCUACCAAGGCGACGAUGCGUAGCCGACCUGAGAGGGUGACCGGCCACACUGGGACUGAGACACGGCCCAGACUCCUACGGGAGGCAGCAGUAGGGAAUUUUCGGCAAUGGGGGAAACCCUGACCGAGCAACGCCGCGUGAAGGAAGAAGUAAUUCGUUAUGUAAACUUCUGUCAUAGAGGAAGAACGGUGGAUAUAGGGAAUGAUAUCCAAGUGACGGUACUCUAUAAGAAAGCCACGGCUAACUACGUGCCAGCAGCCGCGGUAAUACGUAGGUGGCGAGCGUUAUCCGGAAUUAUUGGGCGUAAAGAGGGAGCAGGCGGCACUAAGGGUCUGUGGUGAAAGAUCGAAGCUUAACUUCGGUAAGCCAUGGAAACCGUAGAGCUAGAGUGUGUGAGAGGAUCGUGGAAUUCCAUGUGUAGCGGUGAAAUGCGUAGAUAUAUGGAGGAACACCAGUGGCGAAGGCGACGAUCUGGCGCAUAACUGACGCUCAGUCCCGAAAGCGUGGGGAGCAAAUAGGAUUAGAUACCCUAGUAGUCCACGCCGUAAACGAUGAGUACUAAGUGUUGGGGUUACCCAGUGCUGAAGCUAACGUAUUAAGUACUCCGCCUGAGUAGUACGGUCGCAAGGCUGAAACUCAAAGGAAUUGACGGGCACCCGCACAAGCGGUGGAGCAUGCUGUUUAAUUCGAAGAUACGCGAAGAACCUUACCUAGACUUGACAUCCCUGGCAAAGCUAUAGAAAUAUAGUGGAGGUUACCCAGGUGACAGGUGGUGCAUGGUUGUCGUCAGCUCGUGUCGUGAGAUGUUCGGUUAAGUCCGCUAACGAGCGCAACCCUUAUCCUUAGUUGCUAACAUUAAGUUGAGAACCCUAAGGAGACUGCCGGUGACAAACCGGAGGAAGGUGGGGAUGACGUCAAAUCAUCAUGCCCCUUACGUCUAGGGCUACAGGCGUGCUAUAAUGGCCGAUACAAUAAGAAGCAAUACUGUGAAGUGGAGCAAAUCUGUAAAGUCGGUCUCAGUUCGGAUUGAAGUCUGCAACUCGACUUCAUGAAGCUAGAAUCGCUAGUAAUCCCAAAUCAGAAUGUUGGGGUGAAUACGUUCCCGGGUGUUGUACACACCGCCCGUCAUGCCAUGAAAGUUUGUAAUACCCGAAUGUGGUAGCCUAACCUUUUAGGAGGGGGCCAUUUAAGGUAGGACAAGUGAUUGGGGUAAAGUCGUAACAAGGUAUCCCUACGAGAACGUGGGGAUG
rnacentral:rRNA from 1 species